CGAAAUCCCGCCUAGCCCUGCUCACCUGCCCGCCGAUCCCGAGCUUCCCCGCAGGGCCGCACUGGCAGGCUCAGCCCCACAAAAAGAGUAUCUCUUACAACCAACCAGUGCCAUCCACCCCAAGCUAAUGCCAUGAGAGACCUGCCAGUUCAAACCCUACAGGCAACUUUAGAAGACUUACAGUUCAUAGCAAGAUGAAGUCUGAAGGAACAGCGAGUCUGGAGUAAAGGGAUUAAUGUUCACGUGUGGUGUCCGUCUCAUAACAGCAUCCCGCUUUUCUG